rnacentral:rRNA from 1 species
GCCAGACUCCUACGGGAGGCAGCAGUCGGGAAUAUUGCGCAAUGGAGGAAACUCUGACGCAGUGACGCCGCGUAUAGGAAGAAGGUUUUCGGAUUGUAAACUAUUGUAGACAGGGAAGAAGAAAGACAGUACCUGUAGAGUAAGCUCCGGCUAACUACGUGCCAGCAGCCGCGGUAAUACGUAGGGAGCAAGCGUUAUCCGGAAUUAUUGGGUGUAAAGGGUGCGUAGACGGGAAUACAAGUUAGUUGUGAAAUCCCUCGGCUUAACUGAGGAACUGCAACUAAAACUAUAUUUCUUGAGUGCGGGAGAGGAAAGUGGAAUUCCUAGUGUAGCGGUGAAAUGCGUAGAUAUUAGGAGGAACACCAGUGGCGAAGGCGACUUUCUGGACCGUAACUGACGUUGAGGCACGAAAGUGUGGGGAGCAAACAGGAUUAGAUACCCGGGUACA